ensembl:lncRNA
CCGGGUCUCAGGAGCGCUCUGUUCCGGUGCUUCCUUCUCUUCUGGCUGUGGUGUCUCUGGUAGCUCUGAAUGGGGCCCGUCCAUCCCUUUGAGCUUCUUGUUCUGUCCUUGUCUUCAGAGUUCUGUUUUACACAGUCCAUAGGGGAGCUGCCUCUGCCCAUGCGGUGCAGAUCCUCAGGCUGCCUGUAGGAGCACAUUGGGGUGCAGAGCGGGACGGGUGCCUUUCCUCAUGCAUCAGUCGGUGCCUUGGCCAGGUGCAGACAUGGGCUGGUUGGAGGAGGCUGCACUGCUCUGGUUCUGUGCGUGUCCAGAUGUCUGUCUGCAAGGCAGAGGGGAUGCACGAGAGGAGCAGCCUCCUGCCCUGCUUCCCUGUGCUGCUCUCUCCUGCACAGCACUGCUCACCGUGUUGCUGGUCUGCCAGCCAUUGCCAUGGCCAUGUGGGCCUGCCUGUGUCCCCAAGGCUGUGUGGAAAGGGCCACUGCAAUCAGCAGGUCUGAUGCCAGCUCCUGCAGUGGGGCCACGAAGCAGCGGCAAACAUUGGGGUAGGGCAGGGGGUCCUUGGGGAGCUUCCAGGGUCCUGUCGGAGUGAGGUGGGGUGUGGGUUGGGAGUGACUUAUCUGUCCCGUGGGUGAGCACAGGAGCUCUCGCCGUGCUGCUGUGUCCCUGUCCGUGUGUGUGGCUGUGAGGCAGAGGAGGAGCAGCCGCCAUCCAUGGCCAUGGGCUGCUGCUGCCCCCCACAGCCCUCGCUCACUCGGGUACUCAGCAG